GACGAACGCUGGCGGCGUGCUUAACACAUGCAAGUCGAACGGAAAGGCCCUGCUUUUGUGGGGUGCUCGAGUGGCGAACGGGUGAGUAACACGUGAGUAACCUGCCCUUGACUUUGGGAUAACUUCAGGAAACUGGGGCUAAUACCGGAUAGGAGCUCCUGCUGCAUGGUGGGGGUUGGAAAGUUUCGGCGGUUGGGGAUGGACUCGCGGCUUAUCAGCUUGUUGGUGGGGUAGUGGCUUACCAAGGCUUUGACGGGUAGCCGGCCUGAGAGGGUGACCGGCCACAGUGGGGGUGAGAGACGGCCCAGACUCGUACGGGAGGCAGGCGUGGGGAGUGUUGCGGAAUGGGCCGCAGCGUUAUGCAGCAGCGCCGCGUGCGGGAUGACGGGCUUCGGGGUGUAAACCGAAAUCGCCUGUGACGAAGCGUGAGUGACGGUACGGGGUAAAGAAGCACCGGCUAACUACGUU
rnacentral:rRNA from 1 species